rnacentral:rRNA from 1 species
AUGGCUCAGAUUGAACGCUGGCGGCAGGCUUAACACAUGCAAGUCGAGCGGAGAUGAGGUGCUUGCACCUUAUCUUAGCGGCGGACGGGUGAGUAAUGCUUAGGAAUCUGCCUAUUAGUGGGGGACAACAUUCCGAAAGGAAUGCUAAUACCGCAUACGCCCUACGGGGGAAAGCAGGGGAUCUUCGGACCUUGCGCUAAUAGAUGAGCCUAAGUCGGAUUAGCUAGUUGGUGGGGUAAAGGCCUACCAAGGCGACGAUCUGUAGCGGGUCUGAGAGGAUGAUCCGCCACACUGGGACUGAGACACGGCCCAGACUCCUACGGGAGGCAGCAGUGGGGAAUAUUGGACAAUGGGCGGAAGCCUGAUCCAGCCAUGCCGCGUGUGUGAAGAAGGCCUUUUGGUUGUAAAGCACUUUAAGCGAGGAGGAGGCUACUUAGAUUAAUACUCUAGGAUAGUGGACGUUACUCGCAGAAUAAGCACCGGCUAACUCUGUGCCAGCAGCCGCGGUAAUACAGAGGGUGCGAGCGUUAAUCGGAUUUACUGGGCGUAAAGCGUGCGUAGGCGGCUGAUUAAGUCGGAUGUGAAAUCCCUGAGCUUAACUUAGGAAUUGCAUUCGAUACUGGUCAGCUAGAGUAUGGGAGAGGAUGGUAGAAUUCCAGGUGUAGCGGUGAAAUGCGUAGAGAUCUGGAGGAAUACCGAUGGCGAAGGCAGCCAUCUGGCCUAAUACUGACGCUGAGGUACGAAAGCAUGGGGAGCAAACAGGAUUAGAUACCCUGGUAGUCCAUGCCGUAAACGAUGUCUACUAGCCGUUGGGGCCUUUGAGGCUUUAGUGGCGCAGCUAACGCGAUAAGUAGACCGCCUGGGGAGUACGGUCGCAAGACUAAAACUCAAAUGAAUUGACGGGGGCCCGCACAAGCGGUGGAGCAUGUGGUUUAAUUCGAUGCAACGCGAAGAACCUUACCUGGCCUUGACAUAGUAAGAACUUUCCAGAGAUGGAUUGGUGCCUUCGGGAACUUACAUACAGGUGCUGCAUGGCCGUCGUCAGCUCGUGUCCUGAGAUGUUGGGUUAAGUCCCGCAACGAGCGCAACCCUUUUCCUUAUUUGCCAGCGAGUAAUGUCGGGAACUUUAAGGAUACUGCCAGUGACAAACUGGAGGAAGGCGGGGACGACGUCAAGUCAUCAUGGCCCUUACGGCCAGGGCUACACACGUGCUACAAUGGUCGGUACAAAGGGUUGCUACCUAGCGAUAGGAUGCUAAUCUCAAAAAGCCGAUCGUAGUCCGGAUUGGAGUCUGCAACUCGACUCCAUGAAGUCGGAAUCGCUAGUAAUCGCGGAUCAGAAUGCCGCGGUGAAUACGUUCCCGGGCCUUGUACACACCGCCCGUCACACCAUGGGAGUUUGUGCACCAGAAGUAGGUAGUCUAACCGCAAGGAGGACGCUA